rnacentral:rRNA from 1 species
CCUACGGGUGGCAGCAGUGAGGAAUAUUGGUCAAUGGGCGGAAGCCUGAACCAGCCAAGUCGCGUGAGGGUAUAAGCCCCUACGGGUCGUAAACCUCUUUUGCCGGGGAGCAAGGGCGUGGACGUGUCCCGGCCGGGAGAGUACCCGGAGAAAAAGCAUCGGCUAACUCCGUGCCAGCAGCCGCGGUAAUACGGAGGAUGCGAGCGUUAUCCGGUUUUAUUGGGUUAAAGGGGUGCGUAGGCGGGCUUUUAAGUCAGCGGUAAAAAUUCGGGGCUCAACCGCGUCGGGCCGUUGAAACUGGGGGCCUUGAGUGGGCGAGAAGAAGGCGGAAUGUGUGGUGUAGCGGUGAAAUGCAUAGAUAUCACGCAGAACCCCGAUUGCGAAGGCAGCCUUCCGGCGCCCGACUGACGCUGAGGCACGAAAGUGCGGGUAUCGAACAGGAUUAGAUACCCUUGUAGUC